CCUACGGGGGGCUGCAGUGAGGAAUAUUGGUCAAUGAGGGCAACCUUGAACCAGCCAAGUCGCGUGAAGGAUGACUGUCCUAAGGAUUGUAAACUUCUUUUAUAUGGGAAUAAUUGUAGCCACGUGUGGUUAUUUGCAUGUACCAUAUGAAUAAGGAUCGGCUAACUCCGUGCCAGCAGCCGCGGUAAUACGGAGGAUCCAAGCGUUAUCCGGAUUUAUUGGGUUUAAAGGGUGCGCAGGCGGGAGAUUAAGUCGGUGGUGAAAUUUUGCGGCUCAACCGUAAGAGUGCCAUCGAAACUGGUUUUCUUGAGUGUAGAUGAAGUAGGCGGAAUUUGUGGUGUAGCGGUGAAAUGCAUAGAUAUCACGAGGAACUCCGAUUGCGCAGGCAGCUUACUAAACUACUACUGACGCUCAUGCACGAAGGCGUGGGGAUCAAACAGGCUUAGAUACCCCAGUAGUC
rnacentral:rRNA from 1 species